rnacentral:lncRNA from 1 species
GGCCCAUUAGAAGUCUACCUCGUGUCUAUUUGACCCAUUGGUCAAUAAAAGACACUCAUGUUUAUGUGUUAAAUUUGAAGGAUGUAUACGUCAUUUGGCAAAACGAUGUCCCUUCAGGUAAGGAGUUUAAGAGUUUGUUUGAGUCAAAGAAGGAUCAAAUUAUAAUUGCAUCUGAAGAUGUUGCCAUUUAAAGAUGAAAAGAAAUCAAACAAAAGGACCGUCCAUGGAGGCAUAGCUUAGGAUUGUACCCCUGUGUGGGACUGAUUAUUUGUAUCCUAUUUUUCCUAUUAUGUAUCCACAUUCAGUUUUAUUCAUAAAGUUUGUAUAAAUUCAGAUUUUGGAACAAUGUUGUCAAAUGACGUAAUACAUCCUUCAGAUCGAUAAGUCUACCCUUGGCACAAAAGGGUCACAUAAUUGUAUAGGAUGCGCAAUAAUUGUUUAUAUGCUAUGUGAUAUAAUUGAGUUUGUUUACAAUCAUUUCAGAUCGAUAAGCCUACCAUUGGCACAAAAGGGUCACAUAAUUGUAUAGGACGCGCAAUAAUUGUUUAUAUGCUAUGUGAUAUAAUUGAGUUUGUUUACAAUCAAAGUAGUGCUUAUGUGUUUAAUUAAUUUUAUAUUUUUUUUGUGAUAUUUUGCAUUAUUCAUUAUGAAUACAAAUUAACACUUUAUCUUUUGAGUUUAUCUUCUUUUUAAGCAAGAGAUUGAUCUAUGUCAGAAUUUAGAAGUCAUUGU